AAUGCUGUGGAAACAAAGACACCUACAUCUUGGAUGCCCUUGAGUGCUCUGCGAGGAUCCCGUCCAUUAGUUAUGGUGGCACUGUGUUUUGAGCCCUGACCUCUACUUGGUACUGAAGAAGCAGUGCCACUCUUCCAAUGGUUGCGGUUCAAAUGACGCCCACCUUUACCAAAGGAGGUCUCUCGGGGGACAGGAGAAGGAGAAAACACAGCAGAGCCGUUGGCUGGGAGGGGCAGAGAGAAUGGUACAUAUUUCAGCUUAUUCUGGUCAAGAAUCCCCUAUUUAUACAGAGAGAGCCAUCUGACUGACAUGUUAAAUGAGCAACCACAGCUUAUUUUGUUUUUAUCCAUUUAAUCGUUAAAGUUACACUAUGCAACUUCUUUUGUUAAAGAUUUACAACAUUUAUAUACAGUAAUUAGCAAGUACAUCACGAAUCCAUCUUCCAAAACAUGUUUUUGUCUUAUCCUGAAUCGCAAUGGUACACCUAUUCUAAGUGUUUAUAUUCAGACUAUUUGAGACCGAGUGUGAACCAAAAGUUAGUGUACCAUUAAGGGAACAAAUGAAAAUAAGAAAUAUGAUUCCAGCCUAUAUCUUGAUUUUGAGCAAUUUUAGCUUAUUUUUAAACAAUUUUAAAGGCCCCGAUAUUCCUCAAGAGAAAUCGAAGAAUGAAGAGGUGUGAUGUCAUCUCGAAACAAAUUAGGC